rnacentral:rRNA from 1 species
GAGUUUGAUUCUGGCUCAGAACGAACGCUGGCGGCAGGCCUAACACAUGCAAGUCGAGCGAACCGCAAGGUUAGCGGCGGACGGGUGAGUAACGCGUGGGAACGUGCCCCUUGGUACGGAAUAGCCCUGGGAAACUGGGAGUAACACCGUAUGUGGUCGAGAGACGAAAGAUUUAUCGCCAAGGGAUCGGCCCGCGUUGGAUUAGGUAGUUGGUGGGGUAAUGGCCUACCAAGCCGACGAUCCAUAGCUGGUUUGAGAGGAUGAUCAGCCACACUGGGACUGAGACACGGCCCAGACUCCUACGGGAGGCAGCAGUGGGGAAUCUUAGACAAUGGGGGAAACCCUGAUCUAGCCAUGCCGCGUGAGCGAUGAAGGCCUUAGGGUUGUAAAGCUCUUUCAGUGGGGAAGAUAAUGACGGUACCCACAGAAGAAGCCCCGGCUAACUCCGUGCCAGCAGCCGCGGUAAUACGGAGGGGGCUAGCGUUGUUCGGAAUUACUGGGCGUAAAGCGCACGUAGGCGGACGAGAAAGUCAGAGGUGAAAUCCCAGGGCUCAACCCUGGAACUGCCUUUGAAACUCCUUGUCU